UGAAUCUUUGCAUGAAGAGUGGGACGGUCUGGCUAAAGACAUCAGAAGAGAAACUCAGAAUUCACUUCCAACUGUUGAGAGUGACCCUGUUGUUAACAUGACCACUGCACACGUUCAGGAGGACAUUAACAGGUUACAGGCUGAAAGUAUGUCAUGGGAGUUGCUAUUGAACAAACAUCGGAGCAAAGCUGCCGAAAUAGACAAAUGUGUGGAGCGGG